GACGAACGCUGGCGGUGUGCUUAACACAUGCAAGUCGAACGGUAAGGCCCUUUCGGGGGUACACGAGUGGCGAACGGGUGAGUAACACGUGAGUAACCUGCCCUCAUCUCUGGGAUAACAGUCGGAAACGGUUGCUAAUACUGGAUAUGAGCUUGCAAGGCAUCUUGUGGGUUGGAAAGAUUUUUUUGGUUGGGGAUGGACUCGCGGCCUAUCAGCUUGUUGGUGAGGUAGUGGCUCACCAAGGCUUCGACGGGUAGCCGGCCUGAGAGGGCGACCGGCCACAUUGGGACUGAGAUACGGCCCAAACUCCUACGGGAGGCAGCAGUGGGGAAUAUUGCACAAUGGACGGAAGUCUGAUGCAGCAACGCCGCGUGCGGGAUGACGGCCUUCGGGUUGUAAACCGCUUUCAAUUGUGACGAAGCUUUUUGUGACGGUAGCAGUAGAAGAAGCACCGGCUAACUACGCG
rnacentral:rRNA from 1 species